UCAUAUACCAUUUCACCAUAAAAAUUUCAGAAUUUUUAACCCAGCCAAUUAGUACAGUUUAUUCAUUAAACCUUCCCCUGUUUCACUGCCCAACGGUUCUGACCCUUCCUCACUAAAAUUUACUUAACUCUCUGUACAAAAUUUGAAAAAUGGUUUUUCUUGUUUCUAAUAAAAAUAGACUCAAUAAGGAUUCCAGAGAUAUAAAUUUCAUGCCAUAAUUAUUUUUUUACAAUUUUUGGUAAUUUUCCAAAAUUAGAACAGGGGAUCUCGAAAUCAAUCCAGCCCUGUUUCAGUAAAAUUCAGAUAUCUCCAAAAAUACAACUCUUUUGCUUAUUCUAUUUCUUUCAUAUGAAAAUAGACACAUUCAGCUUCAAUUUCAUAUAUUAUUCAACUUCCCAUUCAUUUUCCACCAUUUAUGGUGAUUUUUCAAAGUUACCCAAUUGCUGUUGUUCAACACAGUUUAUAAUUAAAUCGUUCCUUUUGCGUUUUUGAUAUUUUCUCCCAUCUCAUACAUGGGUCGAUUUAGUAUUCAACUCAAUAUUUACCCCAUAAAAUUUUCCACCAUAUGGAAAUAUUCAUCUUCCACACUUUUUCGUUGAACACUUGGAAUGUUAACCGUUAUUGGUGGAUCUCGCACUUAGCACCACCGCUGAAUCGGGGAAUCAGCACUUAGCAACCCCUCGGGGGAAUCAGCACAUAGCAACCCCCUUUCACAUUUCAAAGAUAUGGUGGAUAUCGCACUUAGCACCACCAAUGAACCGGGGAAUCAGCACUUAGCAACCCCUCGGGGGAAUCAGCACAUAGCAACCCCCUUUUCACAUUUCAAAGAUAUGGUGGAUCACGCACAUAGCACCACCAAUGAAUCGGGGAAUCAGCACACAGCAACCCCUUUAUAUACAACAUACUCCGGCUUAUUCCGAGUGUUCAACCCAUAAACCAUAUAUUGCAACCCUUUACCACCUUUCCCGAUUUAACAACAUUUUUAGGAUAUGGCCAAACAUUUAUUUUAAUUCCAAAUAAAUCUCAACAUAUAUCAAAUAAUAUCAAAAUAAUACAUUAAGUCACGUGUUUACUUACCUCGGUGCAAAAUAUCGUAAUUUUGCACUUCACUCCCCUAUCUUUUCUUUUCCCCGUUUGAUAUACUCUUCACGUCUUUCUUGAUCUAUAAUAGCAAAUUUAACUCAUUUAAUGUUCACACUCAUUAAAAUAAUCCACCACCCAACUUUUUGAAAAAUUACAAUUUUGCCCCCAAACUUUUGCGUAAUUACACUUUUGUCCCCAAGCUCGGAAAUUAAACUUCAUCACUUAUUCUUAAGUUUUAUAACAUGCUGAACAUUUUUCCCUUCUAUGGAAACAUCAAAUUCCCACUCCAACACAUACUUUUGAAUAUUAAUUAUUUUUACCGAUUAUGUCUAUUUACCCGUUUUCGCUUAAAAUUGCUUAGCAAAAGUUGUUUAACAUAAUUUAUGGCUUCAUAUUCCACCAUAAAACAGCAAAAUAAACACAUUUCACCUAUGGGUAUUUUUCCAAAUAUGAGCCCUAACACGAAUUAUUGCUAGAAUAAGCUAAACCGAGUUACGAGGAUUCCAAAAAUGCGAAGAACAUUAAAAACGGGGCUAGGAUGCACUUACUAUGAGCUUGAGAAAGCAAAGAAACCUUAGCUAUGGCUUCCUUCAAAUUUCGGCAGCAACUAAUGAGGAAGAUGAUGAUUUUUGUCAUCUUUUUCCCAUUUUAUUUUUUUUAUUACCAAAUGACUAAUAUGCCCCCACUUAAAAAAAUCUAUUUCUCUCAUUUCUUAUGUCUAUUUUUGUCCAUCAACUAACUAAUGGUCUAAUUACCACAUAAAGACCUCCAAUUUAAAAUUUCAUAUCAAUUAGAUACUUCUACAUAUAGAACUCAACUUUUGCACUAUUUACAAUUUAGUCCUUUUGACUAAAUUGAGUGCCCAAACGUCGAAAUUUUCGAACGAAAUUUUUACGAAAACUUUCCGUGAAAUUGUAGAUCAUAAAAAUAUAAUAAUAACCAUAUUUUCCCUCGUCGGAUUUGUGGUCCCGAAACCACUAUUCAGACUAAGCCCAGAAUCGGGCUGUUACAACUCUCCCCCCCUUAGGGAUUUUCGUCCCCGAAAAUCUUACCGGAAAAGAGGUUUGGGUACUGUUUCCUCAUAAUUUCCUCCGGUUCCCACGUAGCCUCUUCCAUUCCAUGUUUUUGCCACAACACUUUCACUAAGGCAACACUUUUAUUUCUUAACUGUUUGACCUCCCGAGCCAAAAUCUUUAUGGGUUCUUCUUCAUAAGUCAUAUCUGGUCGAACCUCAAUCUCUGUAGGGGAAACUAUAUGUGAAGGAUCCGAACGAUAACGUCGCAACAUCGACACAUGAAAUACAUUAUGUAUCUUUUCCAACUCUGGCGGUAAAGCUAACCGAUAUGCUACAGGGCCAACUCUCUCGGUAACUUCAUAUGGUCCAAUAAAACGUGGACUUAGUUUGCCUUUACGACCAAAUCUCAGAAUCUUCUUCCAUGGGGAUACUUUCAAGAACACUUUAUCACCCACUUGAAACUCAAUUUCUUUUCUCUUUAAAUCCGUAUACGACUUUUGCCGAUCUGAGGCAGCUUUUAGGCAAUCACGGAUUAUUUUCACCUUUUCUUCAGUUUCUUUCACCAGGUCGACUCCAUGAAUCCGAUUCUCACCGAGUUCAGUCCAAUAUAAAGGGGUUCUACAUUUACGCCCAUAUAAUGCUUCAUACGGUGCCAUUUGUAUACUUGACUGAUAACUAUUAUUAUAAGCAAAUUCAACCAGUGGUAGAUAUUUCUCCCAACUGUCCUUCAUUUCUAAAAUACAACACCGGAGCAUGUCUUCAAGAACUUGAAUCACCCUUUCUGACUGCCCGUCAGUUUGCGGAUGAAAUGCAGUACUGAAAUUCAAUUUCGUACCCAAAGCUUCCUGUAACUUUAUCCAAAACCUCGAAGUAAAUCUCGGAUCUUUAUCCGAUAUAAUAGAUUUAGGCACCCCAUGUAGUCUCACUAUUUCAGCAAUAUAUAAUUCAGCCAACCUGUCAAGUGAAUAAUCAAUGCGUAUCGGAAUAAAAUGGGCUGACUUUGUCAAUCUAUCCACAAUUACCCAAAUAGCAUCUUUCUUCUUUGGAGUUAAAGGCAAUCCUGUCACGAAAUCCAUCGUGAUACUGUCCCACUUCCAUUCUGGAAUCGUUAUCGGUUGAAGUAAACCCGAUGGCACUUGAUGCUCAGCCUUCACUUGUUGACAGAUUAAACACUUUGAUACAAAUUCCGAGAUAUCCUUUUUUCAUGCCUGGCCACCAAUACAACUUCUUCAAAUCAUUAUACAUUUUCACACUACCCGGAUGAACUGACAAGUCACCACUAUGUGCCUCACAUAAAAUGGUCUGAAUUAACUCAUCAUUUCUUGGUACACAUACUCUAUCCCGGAACAUCAAGCAAUCAUCUGAACCAAUUUGAAAAUCUGAGUCAACACCUGCUUCACACUGAGCUCUCUUGGCUUGCAAUUUACUGUCAUUCUUUUGAGAUUCCCGAAUUUGCUGAAGAAAUAAUGGUCUAGCUCUCAAUUCAACCAACAUUGAGCCAUCAUCAGAUAAAGUUAACAUCGUACCCAUAGCUCUCAAAGCAAAUAAAGAUUUUCUGCUCAAGGCAUCAGCAACCACAUUAGCUUUCCCGGGGUGAUAAUCAAUCACUAGCUCAUAGUCUUUGAUUAGCUCGAGCCAUCUUCGUUGCCGCAAAUUCAAGUCUUUUUGACUCAUCAAAUAUUUCAAACUCUUAUGAUCAGUGAAGAUUCGGCACUUUUCACCAUACAAAUAAUGACGCCAAAUUUUUAAAGCAAAAACAAUGGCAGCCAAUUCUAAAUCAUGCGUCGGAUAAUUCUUCUCAUGCGGUUUCAACUGUCUCGAAGCAUAAGCUAUUACUUUGCCCUCUUGCAUUAACACACACCCAAGACCAUUCAACGAUUCAUCACUGUAAAUUACAAACUCCUUCCCGGACUCAGGUUGCACCAACACUGGCGCCUCAGUCAAUAAUGCCUUCAACUUUUCAAAACUCUGUUGACAUUUAUCGGUCCAUUCAAACUUGACAUUCUUCUGCAGUAACUUAGUCAUAGGAGAAGCAAUCAUCGAGAAUCCCUUGACAAACCGUCUGUAAUACCCAGCUAAGCCCAGGAAGCUUCUAACUUCAGUCACAUUCUUUGGUGGCUCCCAAUCAACAAUUGCUGAAAUUUUGCUUGGAUCAACCCGAAUACCUUCACUUGAAACUAUAUGUCCCAAGAAUCCAACCUCACGAAGCCAAAACUCACUUUUGCUGAAUUUAGCAUACAAUUUCUUUUCUCUCAGAAUCUGCAACACAGUUCUCAAAUGUUCUGCAUGUUCCGAUUCAUCCCGAGAAUAGAUUAAAAUAUCAUCUAUGAACACCACCACGAACUUGUCUAAGUACAGCCGAAAAAUUCGGUUCAUCAAGUCCAUAAAAAUAGCUGGAGCAUUAGUCAACCCAAAAGGCAUUACCAGAAAUUCAUAGUGUCCAUACCUCGUUCUGAAGGCGGUUUUCGGCACAUCAGACUCUUUAACUCUCAACUGAUAGUAACCAGACCUCAGAUCGAUCUUGGAGAACACUGUUGCCCCUUUUAAUUGAUCAAACAAAUCAUCAAUUCUCGGCAAAGGAUACUUGUUCUUUAUGGUCACCUUAUUGAGCUGACGAUAGUCAAUACAAAGUCUCAUAGAGCCGUCCUUUUUUUUUCACAAAUAACACAGGAGCACCCCAAGGAGAAAAACUCGGUCUCACAAAUCCUUUAUCUGUCAACUCUUGUAACUGAGCUUUUAAUUCCUUCAACUCAGUCGGAGCCAUUCGAUACGGUGCAAUAGAAAUCGGUGCAGUACCAGGUAACAGAUCAAUAGAAAACUCAACUUCUCUAAUCGGAGGUAACCCAGGCAAUUCCUCUGGAAAUACAUCUGGAAAUUCACAGACUACCGGCACUGAUUCAAGCUUCGACCCAGUUAUAUCAAUAUUCAACACAUAAGCAAGAUAAACUUCACAUCCCUUUCUCAAGUAUUUCUGAGCAGACAUGUGCGAAAUCACCAUAGGCAACUUAUUCGGCUCCUCUGUUUCAAUCCGGAGAAUUUCACCAUUUUCACACUUUAAUUCAAGAAUUUUCUGUCUACAAUUCACCUUGGCAUCAUGCAAUAUCAACCAAUCCAUCCCCAAAAUAACAUCGAACUCAUCAAAUGGUAACAACAUCAAAUUAGCCAGGAAACAGUGACCUUGAAUCAUCAGGGGGCAAUUCUUGCAAAUCUUAUCAACUAAGACAUACUUGCCUAAUGGAUUUGAUACUUUAACUACAUAUUCAGUGUUUUCAACAGGCAAUUUCUUACUAGAUACCAAUUUCAUGCAUACAUAUGAAUGAGUAGAGCCGGGAUCAAUCAAAGCAAUAACAUCUAUAUCAUGAAGAGAAAAUGUACCAGUAAUCACAUCGGGAGAUGAGGCAUCCUCUCGAGCACGUAUGGCAUAAGUCCUGGCAGGCGCUCUAAUUUCUGAUCCUCCAGCUGCAUCUUUCAUCACACUUUUACCACUGACUUUGCUUCCUACAUUUCUCGGUGGUCUCCCUCUACUAACAAUAUCACCCGAUCUAGCUCUUGGCAAAUUUUCUUCCUCUCUUCUCUCAGGGCAAUCUCUUACGUAAUGCUCUUGGGAACCACACCUGAAACAAGCUCGUUUAAAUCCCCAACACUCACCAAUAUGUCGCCUGCCACACUGUUGACAUUCAGGCCGGGUGUUUCCUACAUUGCCCACACUUGCUACAGAGGUAGCUCGAGUUGUAGCUCCAGAAUACGACCUCCCUCGGUCUCUGCGUGAAUACCCAACUGAACCAGUUGGUCGUGGAUCCAUCCCUUUAAACUUCUUCGAAUGAGAUUGAAAUGUUCUGCCCACUGUCCUCUUCCUUACAUCUCGAGAUUCCAUCUCUGCCCUUCUCUUUUCUCUACUCAGUUCUUCAGCUUUACAGGCCCGAUCAACUAAUACCACAAAUUCUUUUAACUCUAAAAUUCCAACAUGUAAUCUGAUGUCUUCAUUUAGCCCCUCUUCAAAUCUUUUACACAUAAUAGCCUCCGUAGGCACACAUUCCUGGGCAUAUUUACUAAGCCGGACAAACUCCCGUUCAUAUUCUGCUACUGACAUUCGGCCCUGUUUCAAUCCGAGAAACUCUUUGCGCUUCUGAUCAAUAAACCGUUGGCUUACAUAUUUCUUUCUGAAUUCUUCCUGAAAGAAGUCCCAAGUAACUCUUUCUUUUGGAACCACCGUUAUUAAUGUUUUCCACCAACGGUAUGCCGAAUCCUUCAAUAAAGACACAGCACAUUUCAAACAUUCCUCAGGGGUGCAAGAUAAUUCAUCAAAUACCCGAAUAGUAUUUUCAAGCCAAAACUCGGCUUUUUCCGGAUCAUCAUCAACAUUGGCCCUAAAAUCUUCAGCCCCAUGCUUUCGAAUUCUAUCAACAGGUGGCUUACUUGAUCUCACCAAUUCGGCACUCCGUGGAGCUACGGGGACCGGUUGAGGAAUAGGAGGGGGUGGAGGAGGAGGAACAUUCGGAUUUACACGGACAUAUUCUGUAUACCAAUCACUCAUCAUUCGGAGGAAGGCUUCUCGAGCCUCAUCCUGUCCAUGUGUCUCAUGUCUACUCUCUUCAUGCGCGGUCCCUUGUGCGGGAACCGGCGUGUUACUUUCAACAUCAUCUGCCAUACUUCGAUUAGGAUCCAUUUACUAUAUAAAACAAAAUUUUAAAUUGUCAGAAAUCAUCACACUAUCACAAUAAUUUUAUGGCAUGUAUAGACUGACUUCCACACGUAUUUUAUUGGUCCGAGAACCGACUAAACCGUAGCUCUGAUACCACUAAAAUGUAACACCCCUUACCCGUAUUCCUUACCGGAACAGAGUAUGAGGUAUUACUAAAUUUUUAAAAAUUUUCGACAGCAUUCCUACUUAUUUUUGCUUAAACCUCCUGCAAAUUUAGAACACAUUCCAAUAUACCAACCAAUUUCAUUUGUAUAAACACACAUAUAGUUUAACUAUUAAUAAACACUACAUUUAAAAGGGAACCAUAACAUAUAUUUACAUGAUGAUCCCACAUUACAUAAAGUGUCUAUACAUGCCAUAAAAUUUCGGAACACUAGUAGUAAAAUACCCCAAAUGUGAAGGAUAGUGUAGAUGAUUGUCUGACUUCGUUCCAAUUUCCGAGUUGUUGGAAGUCACUAUAACCAAGAGAAAAAUAAAAUCGAGUAAGCAUAUAGCUUAGUAAGUAAACACAUGAUAAAUAAGUAAUUACUCCCAUAACUACACCAAAAUAUAAACUUAUUCAUGAAUAACUUUAUUGUUUAGGCAAUUUCCAGCAAGUUGUUUUUCUGCGUCAUAGUCGCUAAUUUAUUUUUAUCUGGAGCUACAGGGCUCCAAAUUGAGUUUCGUAAAUUUUCCCUGAAACUAGACUCAUAUACCAUUUCACCAUAAAAAUUUCAGAAUUUUUAACCCAGCCAAUUAGUACAGUUUAUUCAUUAAACCUUCCCCUGUUUCACUGCCCAACGGUUCUGACCCUUCCUCACUAAAAUUUACUUAACUCUCUGUACAAAAUUUGAAAAAUGGUUUUUCUUGUUUAUAAUAAAAAUAGACUCAAUAAGGAUUCCAGGGAUAUAAAUUUCAUGCCACAAUUAUUUUUUUACAAUUUUUGGUAAUUUUCCAAAAUUAGAACAGGGGAUCUCGAAAUCAAUCCAGCCCUGUUUCAGUAAAAUUCAGAUAUCUCCAAAAAUACAACUCUUUUGCUUAUUCUAUUUCUUUCAUAUGAAAAUAGACACAUUCAGCUUCAAUUUCAUAUAUUAUUCAACUUCCCAUUCAUUUUCCACCAUUUAUGGUGAUUUUUCAAAGUUACCCAACUGCUGUUGUUCAACACAGUUUAUAAUUAAAUCGUUCCUUUUGCGUUUUUGAUAUUUUCUCCCAUCUCAUACAUGGGUCGAUUUAGUAUUCAACUCAAUAUUUACCCCAUAAAAUUUUCCACCAUAUGGAAAUAUUCAUCUUCCACACUUUUUCGUUGAACACUUGGAAUGUUAACCGUUAUUGGUGGAUCUCGCACUUAGCACCACCGCUGAAUCGGGGAAUCAGCACUUAGCAACCCCUCGGGGGAAUCAGCACAUAGCAACCCCCUUUCACAUUUCAAAGAUAUGGUGGAUAUCGCACUUAGCACCACCAAUGAACCGGGGAAUCAGCACUUAGCA
rnacentral:lncRNA from 1 species